AGCGAACGCUGGCGGCAGGCUUAACACAUGCAAGUCGAGCGGGCCUUUCGGGGUCAGCGGCGGACGGGUGAGUAACGCGUGGGAACGUGCCCUCUGGUUCGGAAUAACUCAGGGAAACUUGAGCUAAUACCGGAUACGCCCUUUUGGGGAAAGGCUUGCUGCCGGAGGAUCGGCCCGCGUCUGAUUAGCUAGUUGGUGAGGUAACGGCUCACCAAGGCGACGAUCAGUAGCUGGUCUGAGAGGAUGAUCAGCCACACUGGGACUGAGACACGGCCCAGACUCCUACGGGAAGCGGCAGUGGGGAAUAUUGGACAAUGGGCGCAAGCCUGAUCCAGCCAUGCCGCGUGAGUGAUGAAGGCCUUAGGGUUGUAAAGCUCUUUUAUCCGGGACGAUAAUGACGGUACCGGAGGAAUAAGCCCCGGCUAACUUCGUG
rnacentral:rRNA from 1 species